ACACUGAGGAAGGGCCAGAGGAGCACACAGGGAGGUGGCAGCCGUCUACAAGCCAAGAGAAGAGGUCCCCGUAUGAAACCCACCUUGUCAGCACCUUGACCUUGGACCUCCCGGCCUCCAGAACUUCACCAGCAAGGUAGAACUCCUGGAAAACCAAGGCCCAGUGAAGUUCACUGAAUGGCAGAACUGGUAUUUGAAGCAAGGUCUGUGUGCCGCUAAAGCGCUUGCUGUGUGUGGCUGACUUCACCACUGUACCUGGCUGCCUCCCUGUUCUAGAAAGAUGGCCAAAGAAGGGCUCUAAGUAAGAGAAGGAAGAAGGAAAAAAUCAAAAGCUUGGCAACAUUUCUGGGAGAGUACAGAGAACCAGAAGCACAAUUGGAGAUAGGGAGCUAGUUUCGGAAGACACACAACUUUGAGCUCAGGUUGCUGCAGUGGCGCGGGUUUGAUCCCUG